CCUACGUGGAGCAGCAGUGAGGAAUAUUGGUCAAUGGACGCAAGUCUGAACCAGCCAUGCCGCGUGCAGGAAGACGGCUCUAUGAGUUGUAAACUGCUUUUGUACGAGGGUAAACGCAGAUACGCGUAUCUGUCUGAAAGUAUCGUACGAAUAAGGAUCGGCUAACUCCGUGCCAGCAGCCGCGGUAAUACGGAGGAUUCAAGCGUUAUCCGGAUUUAUGGGGUUUAAAGGGUGCGUAGGCGGGAGGAUAAGUUAGAGGUGAACUCCCGAGGCUCAACUUCGGAAUUGCCUCUGAUACUGUUCGGCUAGAGCGUAGUUGCGGUAGGCGGAAUGUAUGGUGUAGCGGUGAAAUGCUUAGAGAUCAUACAGAACACCGAUUGCGAAGGCAGCUUACCAAGCUACUUCUGACGUUGAGGCACGAAAGCGUGGGGAGCAAACAGGAUUAGAUACCCCGGUAGUC
rnacentral:rRNA from 1 species